AUCAUGACCUGGCAGGGGGGAUGCCACGAUCACAAAGGUGGUUCUCCCAGAGUGAGGUUUAUCCAUUGCACCUCAGAUGUGCUGACCCCUGUCACCUCCCCAAAUGUAGAAUCUUUGUUUUUCUGUUUUUUCGUUUUUUGAGACAGAGUGAUAGAGUCUUGCUCUGUCACCCA
rnacentral:snRNA from 1 species